AGUGAACGCUGGCGGUAGGCCUAACACAUGCAAGUCGAACGGCAGCACAGUAAGAGCUUGCUCUUACGGGUGGCGAGUGGCGGACGGGUGAGGAAUACAUCGGAAUCUACUUUUUCGUGGGGGAUAACGUAGGGAAACUUACGCUAAUACCGCAUACGACCUACGGGUGAAAGUAGGGGAUCUUCGGACCUUGCGCGAUUGAAUGAGCCGAUGUCGGGUUAGCUAGUUGGCGGGGUAAAGGCCCACCAAGGCGACGAUCCGUAGCUGGUCUGAGAGGAUGAUCAGCCACACUGGAACUGAGACACGGUCCAGACUCCUACGGGAGGCAGCAGUGGGGAAUAUUGGACAAUGGGCGCAAGCCUGAUCCAGCCAUACCGCGUGGGUGAAGAAGGCCUUCGGGUUGUAAAGCCCUUUUGUUGGGAAAGAAAAGCAGCAGGUUAAUACCCCGCUGUUCUGACGGUACCCAAAGAAUAAGCACCGGCUAACUUCGUG
rnacentral:rRNA from 1 species